rnacentral:lncRNA from 1 species
UUUGUAACAAAUAUCCCAGAUAUAGAAAAAAAUAUUGUGUGUUGAUAUGGGUUGAAUCAUUAAGCAUGUGUCUAAACGCAUCUUCAAUUUGGGUGUUAGAGCAUGCUAUAUGUUAUAUGCUUCAAAUAAGCUCAUUUAUUUAUCUUUUAACAAUGAAAGUACUUUGCUUUCCCUGAUUUUCUUUUUGUCACUGAAAUAGAUAUUGCUUUUAUUCGUUCAGACUUUAGAUCAGUUUCCGAUUUUGUGUCUGAGAAUUCUACCACAUUCCUAUCUUCUUCUCUUUGCAUUUCUGCCAUAGCAAAUAUUCAAAUGCUGGAAAAGGGCAGUGACCGUGACUGCACAGUAUUUGAAGAAUGUAAUAUUCAGAUCUCCUAGCAAGGUUAACAGAAACUUGCCCUUGGAAUCCAUCCAUCAUGCUGUGAGGAAGUGCAGACCAGUCCUCGUGGAGAGACACAUGGAGAGGGACCGAGGCCUCCAGUCAACUACCAGACAUGUGAAUGAGUAAGCCUACAGAUGCUUCCAGUCCCCAGUCUCUGAACCUUCCAGCUGAGGCCUCAGCAUUACAGGGCAGAGACAAACCAUUCAGGAUCUGACUUCCUGAUCCACAAAAUCUAGGAGCUUAA